rnacentral:rRNA from 1 species
UACAGAGGUCUCAAGCGUUGUUCGGAUUCAUUGGGCGUAAAGGGUGUGUAGGUGGCGCCGUAAGUCGGGUGUGAAAUUUCGGAGCUUAACUCCGAAACUGCAUUCGAUACUGCGGUGCUUGAGGACUGGAGAGGAGACUGGAAUUCAUGGUGUAGCAGUGAAAUGCGUAGAGAUGUGGAGGAAUACCGAUGGCGAAGGCAGCCCCCUGGGAUAACACUGACGCUCAUGCACGAAAGCGUGGGGAGCAAACAGG